GCUCGGUUAGCUCAGUGGUAGAGCGCUACCUUCACACGGUAGACGUCACUGGUUCAAAUCCAGUACCGAGUACCA
rnacentral:tRNA from 1 species